rnacentral:rRNA from 1 species
GACGAACCGGAGCGAACGUUGUUCGGAAUCACUGGGCUUAAAGGGCGCGUAGGCGGGUGCUCAAGUCCGUGGUGAAAUCCUCCGGCUCAACCGGAGAACUGCCUCGGAUACUGGGCGUCUCGAGUGUGGUAGGGGUAUGCGGAACUAUCGGUGGAGCGGUGAAAUGCGUUGAUAUCGAUAGGAACUCCGGUGGCGAAGGCGGCAUACUGGACCACCACUGACGCUGAUGCGCGAAAGCCAGGGGAGCAAACGGG